UAUCCCCACCCCCUGGUCUAAAAACACGUCUCUUCAGGGCAGGAGGAUGGUUUCUGAAUGGCCUUUCUGCCCUGAUUCUCUGUCUCUUUUCUUAGCUUUUCACUGCGUCAUUGGUUGAUGGGGCGCAGCGUCCCAGGACCCCCGCUAAGGCCCUUUCUUCCUCCGUCGUCCGUGUCGGAGGAGCUUCUCCAGGGAGGCCCUUCCUUCCUCCUUUGUCACCUUUGAGGAAAGUCACUUCCCGUGCUGUGGUCUCUGACGGCUGGGGCGCCACCCCCACCUUCCCGCGGCCUGUUUGGGAUGGAGACAUACUCUGUACUUGUGUGGAAGUAGCUUUAACUAGUUUAUCUCCCCUUCUCUGGUCCCCGUGGGGGGAGGGGACGGAGGCAGCAGUCGGUCGCCCGCACGGCCUGAGCAGCUCCUGCUUGCAGAGCUCUGCUCCCCUCACUGCCGGGGACGGCAGCGCAUGGCAGGCGGUGAGUGACCUCAAAUUCCCCCGUCCGUCCAGCCGCACCGUGUGCAGCCUCGCUCACCUCUGCCCUGGCUCACUGACAGGCUGUCACUGCCGUCGUCUGAGCUUAACCAUCGUCUGACGAUGGUGAGAAAUCGGGUCUCGGCGUCGGGUGGUGGUGGGCUUUGUACAUUCAGUACAUUCUUCCGGAACACGGAUGAAGGUUUUAAAAAAAAA